rnacentral:rRNA from 1 species
CACGUAGGCGGCUUUCUAAGUCAGGGGUGAAAUCCUGGAGCUCAACUCCAGAACUGCCUUUGAUACUGGAGAGCUCGAGUCCGGAAGAGGUGAGUGGAACUGCGAGUGUAGAGGUGAAAUUCGUAGAUAUUCGCAGGAACACCAGUGGCGAAGGCGGCUCACUGGUCCGGUACUGACGCUGAGGUGCGAAAGCGUGGGGAGCAAACA